rnacentral:lncRNA from 1 species
CACAAGUGUUUAAGGAGGGUCUUUUAAGACGUUUGUUUAAGUCUACUCAGAUGCUUUCUGUACUUCACUGCGAUCCUGGGACAGAGGAAUGUUGACUGAGCAGGAAGGGCCGUCUCACUUCAGAGAUAACUUUGACCUACAUAUUUCAGUUGGAAGACGAGACGUUUGCAUGGUGGAUUAAUGCUGCAUCCCAUCAGGGUGUCCUCAGACUCGCGAAGAUGAUGAGCUGAGUGCCUCUGCAGACCUGAUCUCAAGGAGCAGCCGAGGAGGCCCCACCUGCCAGCAGGCACCCAAAUGCAGGGGCCACACUUGCCUGAUGCUGCCCAGCAGAAUUCUCUGCAAUGAGAGAAAUGCUGUCCAGUACCGCAGCCAGAAGACACAGGUGACCACUGAGCACUGGGAAUCUGGAUGGUGAGACUAAAAAAUGAAUUUGAAAUUGUAUUUCAUUUUAAUGAAUUUAAAUAGCCACAUGUGGGAAU